CUGGAUGAAAUGAAUCAUUACUUUAUGAAGUCGAUCCACACAGAAAAUUCUCUAUUGC
rnacentral:lncRNA from 1 species